rnacentral:rRNA from 1 species
GUGGGGAAUUUUGGACAAUGGGCGCAAGCCUGAUCCAGCAAUGCCGCGUGCAGGAAGAAGGCCUUCGGGUUGUAAACUGCUUUUGUACGGAACGAAACGGUCCGGGUUAAUACCCUGGGCUAAUGACGGUACCGUAAGAAUAAGCACCGGCUAACUACGUGCCAGCAGCCGCGGUAAUACGUAGGGUGCAAGCGUUAAUCGGAAUUACUGGGCGUAAAGCGUGCGCAGGCGGUUUUGUAAGACAGGCGUGAAAUCCCCGGGCUCAACGUGGGAAUUGCGCUUGUGACUGCAAGGCUGGAGUGCGGCAGAGGGGGAUGGAAUUCCGCGUGUAGCAGUGAAAUGCGUAGAUAUGCGGAGGAACACCGAUGGCGAAGGCAAUCCCCUGGGCCUGCACUGACGCUCAUGCACGAAAGCGUGGGGAGCAAACAGGAUUAGAUACCCGAGUAGUCC